rnacentral:rRNA from 1 species
AGUAACGUGCACAGAUAUUUAGUAAGGAUUUCUUUUCCUUUGUUUUAAAGGAAAAGGGAAGUAUAUAAAGAGACUAUUAUGGAUACCUGGCUAUAUAUUAAAGAGAGCAUUAAACUUAAAUUGUGUCUACAUAUUGAUUAACACAUGUACUCUUAGAGAAAUUCAAUAAUAAACGAAGUGAAUUGAAAUAUCUUAGUAACUUCAGGAAAAUAAAUCAAACGAGAUUCUAUUAUUAGUGUGAAUGAAAGUAGAGCAGCCUAUAUCAGAUUAUAAAGAAUAAAAAAAACAAGAUAAACAAUAAAAAACUUUUCGUUAAAAUAUAAACAGUGUAGUGUAGGUAAAAAUAUAAAUAAAAUACAAGGGUAUGAAAAUAACCCACUGAUAAUUUAAAUAAGUAAAAUGGGAAAAACCUGUUUGAAUAUAAAGGGGAACCUUCCUCUAAGGCUAAAUAUGAUAUAUAAGCAACAGCGUAUAGUACUGUGAAGGAAAGGUUUGAAAUAGUAGUUUUAUAAGCAGCUCGAAUGAAAUUUAAAUAAAAAAUUAGAGCGUACCUUUUGCAUAAUGGGUCAGCGAGUUAAUAUUAGAUGCGAGCAGUAAUGCCUAGAUAAACCAAUUAUGAAAUAAUGAUUUAGUAUCUAACAUUAGACCCGAAGCCUGGUGAUCUUACUACAGUCAGGGUUAUAAAAGCCCGAACGGGUUAUCGUUGUAAAGAUAUCCGAUGAACUGUGGUAAGUUAGUGAAAGACAAAACUGACUAGGAUAGCUGGUUUUCUGCGAAACCUAUAUAAGUAGGUAAUUCAAGUUACAUCAUAGCAGGUACAGAACUGUGAUCUCAGGCAACUUCUAUCUUUUAUUGAGUUUUAUUAUGAAAUAAAGGAUAAUUUGGCAUAUAUCGGGCAAUCGUGAUGAUUUUAUCGGUGAGUAUUCGCACUCGGAAGGGCAAUGAUGAAUCUUGAAUAAUCGGACAUAGUACGAUAAGGUUGUAUGUCUAAAGGGAAACAGCCCAGAACAAGAGUUAAGGUUCCAAAAUUAUUGUUAAGUGAAAUUAAGGAUGUUUCUAUCUAAUACGACUAGGAAAUAGGCUUAGAAGCGGUCCAUUUUUUGAAGAUCUCGUAAUAGAGCACUAGUUUAGUAGAUUAAAUUUUACAUUGAUAGUUGCACCGAAAAUUUAACGGAUCUAAACAAUAUACCGACACCUUGUCCAUAUUUAUUAAUAAUUUAUAUUAUUAUAUUUAAUGGGGUAGCAGAACGUUGGGUAAAUCUGAGACUUAUUCUUUUUAAGAAUAAAUAUUGAAUUAUUUUUUUUUGCUUUGCAUGAGAACUUAAAACAUUAAAAGAUAACCCAAGUGAGAAUGCUGACAUGAGUAACGAAAAAGGACGAUGAUAGUCUUGACCACUGUAGUCCUCGCCUAAAGCUUAUGGUUUUUAUAAAGUAACGGCCUCUAAGUUUACCAACCUAAAGGAUUAAACGAUGAGAAAACCUGAACUAUAAAGUAACAACCUUCUUUAAAAGUGAAGAAGGUUCUGGAAAAACAAUAGUUAGCCAACAAGUUAGCUACACCGGACCUAUAAACUACCACAAAUAAGCUAAUAAGUUGGCAACACCGUACCUAGAGACUACCGCAAGUAAGCUAGUAGAGAAUACGAAGGCGUUUGAGUGAACAAUCAUUAAGGAACUCGGCAAACUAACUACCGUAACUUCGGGAUAAGGAGAGCCAUUCCUCCUAAUUAAUAUUAGGUAAAGAAUAGGAAGCAUGGAAUAGUGUUGUACGACUGUUUAAUUAAAACAAAGCACUCUGCAGUAAGAUAAUAAAUCAAAGUAUUGAGUGUGAUUUCUGCCCGAUGUCGGCUGGUUAACGGAUUUUCUAAGUUGACUAAUAUAAGCUUGGUUUUGAAGGAAACCCCGAUCAAUGGCGGCCUUACCUAUGAGGGUCCUAAGGUAGCGGAAUACCUUGGCCGUUAAAUGCGGUCUUGCAUGAAUGAUUUAACGAUACAACAGCUGUCUCAAUGAUUGGCUCAGUGAAAUUGGAAUAACUGUGCAGAUACAGUUUACCUCUAGUUAGACGAGAAGACCCUAUGCAGCUUUACUGUUGCUAGUUAUUGAAUAUGAUAUUUUGAAAUUUUAGUAAUAUAAGGUAGCAUUAGCACAAGUGAAAGAACUUUAUAGAUAAUAUCAUAUUGGUAGACUUGUCUACGUGAGAGUAUCAAGGCAUUGCGAAAUGUCUGAUAUUAUCAUUAACCUUCCUAAGAAGGGACAAUUGCUAGGAGGCAGUUUAUGCGGGGCACAGAUCCCAUAAAAAGUACCUGGGUGUAUCCAAAGUUAAUUUCGUAAAAUUGUCAUAACUAGAUUAUGGCAAUUAAAUAUACAAUUAUGUAUAUUUAAUAUUUUUUAGUUUGUUAUUAGUUAUAGCUUUUUAUAAAGCUAUGACUAAUCCAGCUAUAUAUCUAUUGAGUUAGAACUAAUAAAUUUUAUCCAAGUAAGAUUUUAACUAUAUGGUUAAUAGUUGUAAUUUAAACCAUUAAGUAACGCUCUUUUUUGCAUGAAACUUAAAAAUAGCUUUUAUUUAGCUUGUCUAGAUAAUUAAAGGGCAUAACUAAUGGGUUUUUAGUCAUAUUAUUAGAUGCUUAUAUUAUAAUUAUUUAAGCUGAGGUCUCAUUACACUAAUAACAUGAUUAUGAUGAAUACUUGUCAAGUUUAAUGGCAUAAUCUUGCUUUACUGUUUGACUUACACGUCUAUCAGUCGCGUAAGCGGGGCAUAUGAUCACAAGAUGCAGAAAGGAAAGGUCUUGGAUUUUUGAAAAAGCUACGCUAGGGAUAUACAAGUUUGUCCCGCAAUAGAUUAUAAUGAUUUAUAAUUUAUUGUUCUUAAUUGGGCUAAUUACAAGAACAACUUAUUUUUUUAAGUAAACUUGUAGCGAAAUUUACUUAAUGCAGAUUACUCUUCAUUUAAAGUAAAGACGUUCAACG